AGAUGCUAAGCCUGGAAACCCACAGGAAACAUGUUAUUCUUCAGUAUUUGCAAAGCACUGAUAAAAACAUCUCUCUUCUCUCAAUCUUGCUUCCUUCUUUUCAUUUACUAAAUAGGCUUUUGAGCCUCACAAGACUUUGAGAUUUUAUGGAUAUGAAACCUGCUAUCAUUUAGCAUCCUGCCUCUGGGAAUAGAAGCUGGACUGUACUGCUGCCAUCUCGGCUCACUGCAACCUCCCUGCCUGAUUCUCCUGCCUCAGCCUGCCCAGUGCCUGCGAUUGCAGGCGCGCGUCGCCACGCCUGACUGGUUUUCAUAUUUUUUGGGUGGAGACGGGGUUUCCCUGUGUUGGCCGGGCUGGUCUCCAGCUCCUAACCGCGAGUGAUCCGCCAGCCUCCGCCUCCCGAGGUGCCCGGAUUGCAGACGGAGUCUCCUUCACUCAGUGCUCAAUGGUGCCCAGGCUGGAGUGCAGUGGUGUGAUCUCGGCUCGCUACAACAUCCACCUCCCAGCAGCCUGCCUUGGCCUCCCAAAGUGCCGAGAUUGCAGCCUCUGCCCGGCCGCCACCCCGUCUGGGAAGU
rnacentral:lncRNA from 1 species